UGUAGUCAUAUGCUUGUCUCAAAGAUUAAGCCAUGCAUGUCUAAGUAUAAGCAAUUAUACCGCGAAACUGCGAAUGGCUCAUUAUAUAAGUUAUCGUUUAUUUGAUAGCACAUUACUACUUGGAUAACCGUGGUAAUUCUAGAGCUAAUACAUGCUAAAAAUCCCGACUUCGGAAGGGAUGUAUUUAUUAGAUUAAAAGCCAAUGCCCCUCGGGGCUCUCUGGUGAUUCAUAAUAACUGGUCGAAUCGCAUGGCCUUGCGCCGGCGAUGGUUCAUUCAAAUUUCUUCCCUAUCAACUUUCGAUGCGAGGGUCUUGUCCUCGCAUGGUUGCAACGGGUAACGGAGGGUUAGGGCUCGACCCCGGAGAAGGAGCCUGAGAAACGGCUACUACAUCCAAGGAAGGCAGCAGGCGCGCAAAUUACCCAAUCCCGACACGGGGAGGUAGUGACAAUAAAUACUGAUACAGGGCUCUUUUGGGUCUUGUAAUCGGAAUGAGUACAAUUUAAAUCCUUUAACGAGGAUCAAUUGGAGGGCAAGUCUGGUAAUCG
rnacentral:rRNA from 1 species